UGAGGAAUUUUGGGCAAUGGGCGAAAGCCUGACCCAGCGACGCCGCGUGGAGGAUGAAGGCCUUCGGGUCGUAAACUCCUGUUCUGGGGGAAGAAAACGGGAUGCGUGAAUAAUUCAUCCCGCUGACGGUACCCCAGGAGAAAGCUCCGGCUAAUUACGUGCCAGCAGCCGCGGUAAUACGUAAGGAGCAAGCGUUGCCCGGAUUUACUGGGCGUAAAGAGCUCGUAGGCGGCCGAUCAGGUCUCGCGUAAAAUCCCCCGGCUCAACCGGGGAGAGUCGCGGGAAACCGACCGGGUUGAGGACAGAAAAGGAAAGGGGAAUUCCCGGUGUAGCGGUGAAAUGCGUAGAUAUCGGGAGGAAUACCAGUGGUGAAGGCGCCCAUCUGGACGGUAACUGACGCUGAGACGCGAAAGCGUGGGGAGCAAACA
rnacentral:rRNA from 1 species